UACGUAGGGUGCGAGCGUUAAUCGGAAUUACUGGGCGUAAAGCGUGCGUAGGCGGUCGUGUGCGUCAGAGGUGAAAUCCCCGGGCUUAACCUGGGAAUGGCCUUUGUGACUGCACGGCUAGAGUGUGUCAGAGGGGGGUAGAAUUCCACGUAUAGCAGUGAAAUGCGUAGAGAUGUGGAGGAAUACCGAUGGCGAAGGCAGCCCCCUGGGAUAACACUGACGCUCAGGCACGAAAGCGUGGGGAGCAAACAGG
rnacentral:rRNA from 1 species